GAUGAACGCUGGCGGCGUGCCUAAUACAUGCAAGUCGAGCGAACAGAUGAGGAGCUUGCUCCUCUGACGUUAGCGGCGGACGGGUGAGUAACACGUGGAUAACCUACCUAUAUGACUGGGAUAACUUCGGGAAACCGGAGCUAAUACCGGAUAAUAUAUUGAACCGCAUGGUUCAAUAGUGAAAGACGGUUUUGCUGUCACUUAUAGAUGGAUCCGCGCCGCAUUAGCUAGUUGGUAAGGUAACGGCUUACCAAGGCAACGAUGCGUAGCCGACCUGAGAGGGUGAUCGGCCACACUGGAACUGAGACACGGUCCAGACUCCUACGGGAGGCAGCAGUAGGGAAUCUUCCGCAAUGGGCGAAAGCCUGACGGAGCAACGCCGCGUGAGUGAUGAAGGUCUUCGGAUCGUAAAACUCUGUUAUUAGGGAAGAACAAAUGUGUAAGUAACUAUACACGUCUUGACGGUACCUAAUCAGAAAGCCACGGCUAACUACGUG
rnacentral:rRNA from 1 species